AAAAAAGGUCUCUACCAUAAGAGCACCUUAAUCAAAACAAAGUAGAUUAUGUCUUUCAGCAGACUACGUAUUUUUAAGAGAAAAGAAAUACUCGAAUAAAUUAUGGUUUUUAUAACCGCAAAAAGCUCUAACCUAAGCAAAGUGCUCUACUAUAAGAGCACCUUGUUCAAAGCAAAGUAGAUAUAUAUUAUGUCUUUCAGCAGACUAGGUAUCUUUACAGAGAAAAGAAAUACCUAAAUAAACUAUGGUUUUUAUAACCAGCACCUUGAACAAAGCACAGUAGAUAUGUCUUUCGGCAGACUAGGUAUCUUUUCAGAGAAAAGAAAUACCUGAAUAAACUAUGGUUGUGAUAACCGCAAAAAAGGUCUCUACCAUAAGAGCACCUUUAUCGUAGCAAAGUAGAUAUGUCUUUCGGCAGACUACAUAGGUAUCUUUUCAGAGAAAAGAAAUACCUGAAAUGGUUACCACAACUGAAUAGGUUCCUGCAAUCAUAAAACCUUAAGCAACGACAUGUAAAAUGGUUAAAACAACCGUCUAGGGGCUCCAAGCAGCAGGAGACCGCAAACUAAACUGGCUAACAUUAACCGAAAAAAGAAACAACAUGUAAACUAGUUAAAAUAACCGACUAGGGGCUCCAAGCAGAAGAAG